rnacentral:rRNA from 1 species
AAUAGAUACCCAGGUAGUCCACACCGUAAACGUUGGGCGCUAGGUGUGGGAUCCAUUCCACGGGUUCCGUGCCGUAGCUAACGCAUUAAGCGCCCCGCCUGGGGAGUACGGCCGCAAGGCUAAAACCCAAAGGAAUUGACGGGGGCCCGCACAAGCGGCGGAGCAUGCGGAUUAAUUCGAUGCAACGCGAAGAACCUUACCUGGGUUUGACAUACACCGGAAAGCAUCAGAGAUGGUGCCCCUUUUUGUCGGUGUACAGGUGGUGCAUGGCUGUCGUCAGCUCGUGUCGUGAGAUGUUGGGUUAAGUCCCGCAACGAGCGCAACCCUCGUCCUAUGUUGCCAGCACGCCCUACCAGUUCGGCUGGGGGUGGUGGGGACUCAUGGGAGACUGCCGGGGUCAACUCGGAGGAAGGUGGGGAUGACGUCAAGUCAUCAUGCCCCUUAUGUCCAGGGCUUCACGCAUGCUACAAUGGCCGGUACAGAGGGCUGCGAUCCCGGUGAGGGGGAGCGAAUCCCGUAAAAGCCGGUCUCAGUUCGGAUUGGGGU